rnacentral:rRNA from 1 species
UACGAAGGGGGCUAGCGUUGCUCGGACUCACUGGGCGUAAAGCGCACGUAGGCGGAUUCUUAAGUCAGGGGUGAAAUCCUGGAGCUCAACUCCAGAACUGCCUUUGAUACUGGGAAUCUCGAGUCCGGGAGAGGUGAGUGGAACUGCGAGUGUAGAGGUGAAAUUCGUAGAUAUUCGCAAGAACACCAGUGGCGAAGGCGGCUCACUGGCCCGGUACUGACGCUGAGGUGCGAAAGCGUGGGGAGCAAACAGG